rnacentral:rRNA from 1 species
GACGAACGCUGGCGGCGUGCUUAACACAUGCAAGUCGAACGGAAAGGCCCCUUUGGGGGUACUCGAGUGGCGAACGGGUGAGUAACACGUGAGUAACCUGCCCUUGACUUCGGGAUAACUUCAGGAAACUGGGGCUAAUACCGGAUAGGAAUCCUUGCUGCAUGGUGGGGGUUGGAAAGCUUCGGCGGUUUUGGAUGGACUCGCGGCUUAUCAGCUUGUUGGUGGGGUAGUGGCUUACCAAGGCUUUGACGGGUAGCCGGCCUGAGAGGGCGACCGGCGACAUUGGGACUGAGAUACGGCCCAGACUCCUACGGGAGGCAGCAGUGGGGAAUAUUGAACAAGGGGCGGAAGCCUGAUGCAGCAACGCCGCGUGCGGGAUGACGGCCUUCGGGUUGAAAACCGCUUUCAGCAGGGGCGAAGCUUGUGGUGACGGUACCUGCAGAAGAAGCACCGGCUAACUACGUG